GGCUCAGAUUGAACGCUGGCGGCAUGCCUUACACAUGCAAGUCGAACGGCAGCACGGAGCUUGCUCUGGUGGCGAGUGGCGAACGGGUGAGUAAUAUAUCGGAACGUACCCUAGAGUGGGGGAUAACGUAGCGAAAGUUACGCUAGUACCGCAUACGAUCUAAGGAUGAAAGUGGGGGAUCGCAAGACCUCAUGCUCGUGGAGCGGCCGAUAUCUGAUUAGCUAGUUGGUAGGGUAAAAGCCUACCAAGGCAUCGAUCAGUAGCUGGUCUGAGAGGACGACCAGCCACACUGGAACUGAGACACGGUCCAGACUCCUACGGGAGGCAGCAGUGGGGAAUUUUGGACAAUGGGCGAAAGCCUGAUCCAGCAAUGCCGCGUGAGUGAAGAAGGCCUUCGGGUUGUAAAGCUCUUUUGUCAGGGAAGAAACGGUGAAAGCUAAUAUCUUUUGCUAAUGACGGUACCUGAAGAAUAAGCACCGGCUAACUACGUGCCAGCAGCCGCGGUAAUACUGUAGGGUGCAAGCGUUAAUCGGAAUUACUGGGCGUAAAGCGUGCGCA
rnacentral:rRNA from 1 species